CUCCAUUUGAAGACUCAGUUAAAAGGUGCCAUCUAUAAAGUGGAGUGUGGGCGCUCACCGAACACUGAAUCUGCUGGUGCCUUGAUCUUGAACUUCCCAUCCUCCAGAACUGUGAGCAAUACAUUUCUGUUGUUUGUAAAUCAUCCAGUCUAAGGCUUUUUUUUUUUUUUUUUGAGAUGGAGUCUCGCUCUUUCUCCCAGGCUGGAGUGCAGUGGCACGAUCUCGGCUCACUGCAAGCUUUGCCUCCCGGGUUCAUGCCAUUCUCCUGUCUCAGCCUCCCAAGUAGCUGGGACUACAGGCACCUGCCACUACGCCUGGCUAAUUUUUUGUAUUUUUAGUAGAGACGGGAUUUCACCAUCUCUAGCCAGUAUGGUCUCGAUCUCCUGACCUCGUGAUCCACCCACCUCGGCCUCCCAAAGUGCUGGGAUUACAGGCGUGAGCCACUGUGCCCAACACAGUCUAAGGCAUUUUUAUAGCAGCCCAAACGAUCUAAGAUAUCAUCCAGACACUUUCAUUUCCUCUAUGCAUCAUGAGUUGAAAAAAAAUGGUAUAAUAUACCUGCUAAGGAAGUAGUAUGUAAUCAAUAGAGGAAAGUAAUCAAAUAACAACUAUGAACUCUGGACAAAACACAGUAAAGUAUCUGAAAGCACUCGAGAAUUAACAUCAACAGAUUCUAGAGGGAAGUUGACACUUGGGAGAAACAAAAGGCACUGAAUGUGUUUCUUAUUUUAAUUCCUUCUCCUCCUGCUUCUCUCCUCUUCCCAACACCCUCCUUCUCCCUCUCUUCCUCCUCUGCAUAUUCCUCUUCCUCGUUCUUCUCCUCCUCUUCUUCCCCUUCUUCUUCUAAUUAAUAACAGUUUUUAUACUUUGGGCAAGUGGCAGGCAGAGCCAGGCAGGUCAGGUGAAGGUCUAACACAAAACCCACAGGUUUUCAGGCCUAAAAACCAGAGGACAGAGUUGGGGAAAAUACCAUUUCUGGAAAGUCAGGUAGGGAUUGGGGGGAUCCCAGAAAGAAGAGAGCCAGAGAAGAGGAGAUGCAAAUUCUUUGUUUAAACUUUUUUUCCCCAGAUCUCUGACUGACACAUGAACAAUGCAUGCUUAGGGCAGACUUCAAGACUAGAAAAUAAAACGACUGAACUGAGCUUUAAAUUGACAUCUGAAAGAGAGCCUUUGCAGGUGGACUCUAACAAAUGACAAAGCCUGCACAAACAAAACAAACUACUAACUUUCUUUUAGAGAAACAUAAAUCCAGAGCCUCUGCAAUAUAACUUGCAUAAUGUAUGGGAAACAAUCCAAAACCACUUGACAAAAGAAGAUAUGAGAAAAUGUAAAUGGAGAUUGAUGCCAACGUGAUUGAGCCAGAUACUGGAAGUAGCUGACAAGCAUUUUAAAGCAGCUCCACAAACUGCGUUUAAGAAAGUAAAAGGAAAUAUGCUCAUAGUGAAUUAAAA
rnacentral:lncRNA from 1 species